GACGGAGGAUGCAAGCGUUAUCCGGAAUGAUUGGGCGUAAAGCGUCCGCAGGUGGCAGUUCAAGUCUGCUGUCAAAGACCGGGGCUUAACUUCGGAAAGGCAGUGGAAACUGAACAGCUAGAGUAUGGUAGGGGCAGAGGGAAUUCCUGGUGUAGCGGUGAAAUGCGUAGAGAUCAGGAAGAACAUCGGUGGCGAAGGCGAUCUGCUGGACCAUAACUGACAUUCAGGGACGAAAGCUAGGGGAGCGAAUGGG
rnacentral:rRNA from 1 species